AUUGAACGCUGGCGGCAGGCCUAACACAUGCAAGUCGAGCGGAGCGGCGGACGGGCGAGUAAUGCAUAGGAAUAUGCUUGGUAGCGGGGGAUAACGUACGGAAACGGGCGCCCAUACCGCAACCUAUCAGAUGAGCCUCGGUCGGAUUAGCUAGUUGGUGGGGUAAAGUCCCAGCAAGGCGACGAUGCGUACCUGGUCUGAGAGGAUGAUCAGUCACACUGGAACUGAGAGACGGUCCAGACGCCUACGGGAGGCAGCAGUGGGGAAUAUUGGACAAUGGGCGCAAGCCUGACCCAGCCAUGCCGCGUGUGUGAAGAAGGUCUUCGGAUUGUAAAGCACUUUCAGUUGGGAGGCGUUACCAGCAGAUGAAGCACCGGCUAACUCCGUGCCAGCCGCCGCGGUAAUAC
rnacentral:rRNA from 1 species